GACGCUACGCUAGCAAGCUCGAAGUGACUCGUGCGAGGGCAAAGCUGGUGGGGAAGAUUUAGCAAUAUAUACCCAGAGCCAUCCCAGCGGGUAUUACGUCCAAGAAGAGGGACAAAGGCCCAACAACCCGUGGAUGAGAGGCAGAGUGGCGGGAUCGGAAUAAGAGAACGACCACCGGGUGCCAGCUGUUGGGUUCGAGGAGGAGAAAGGUAUGUUCUCUUUCUGUUCCCAUUAAAAUCGAACGCAAUUCCCUUAUAUCUGAAAGUGUCGGUAAGCGUUUGUUACAAUUUGUCAACAUUUCGGAGACUGUUACAGGUCCUUGACAGCGUGAAAAAAAGGGAUUAAGCUGGAUUUUGUAGAGACCCCGAAACAGACUAAACUUCCGUGUCCCUUAAGGUGCUUUCACACUGCCACUAACGGAGCGUUACGGAGCAUAGCGUAGCGUAGCGCAACGUGGUGUGACGGAAGAAUGUGUACUGUAGCGUAAGGGUGUUUGAAGUUCCUCCCCCCGCUGGAAAUGAUUUCGUUCAGGUCAAUUCUCGUUUCUCAUUUCAACGCGUCUAAAUCGUAAUAGAUUCUCAAUUUAUUUGGAGCCUUGAGAGUGAGCAUCAUUACUACGGAAAAUACUGUAUGGAGCAGCUAUGGUAUUAGUCUGGGCCAGACGUUGUCCAACUUGAAUCACAAAGCGGCCUGCUCUCUUCGCCACUCCAUUGAAACCAUCAUUUUUACGGAUCUUAACGAAAAUUAGUUUGUUUUUUAUUUAUUCUUAUUUGAAUUCUUUGAUUGGCUUACAAUUCAAAUAAAAAUAUGGCAAUGUCUCGACAUUAAUACGCUUACCUUUGUUCUUUUUUGUAUU